AAGCGUGGGGAUCAAGCAGGAUUAGCUACCGUGGUACUCCACGCCGUAAACGAUGAGUACUAAGUGUUAGGGAUUUUCCGCCCCUUAGUGCUGCAGNAAACGCAUUAAGCACUCCGCCUGGGGAGUACGACCGCAAGGUUGAAACUCAAAGGAAUUGACGGGGACCCGCACAAGCGGUGGAGCAUGUGGUUUAAUUAGAAGCAACGCGAAGAACCUUACCAAAUCUUGACAUCCUCUGAUCCCUCUAGAGAUAGAGUUUUCCCCUUCGGGGGACAGAGUGACAGGUGGUGCAUGGUUGUCGUCAGCUCGUGUCGUGAGAUGUUGGGUUAAGUCCCGCAACGAGCGCAACCCUUAAGUUUAGUUGCCAUCAUUAAGUUGGGCACUNUAAGUUGACUGCCGGUGACAAACCGGAGGAAGGUGGGGAUGACGUCAAAUCAUCAUGCCCCUUAUGAUUUGGGCUACACACGUGCUACAAUGGACAAUACAAAGGGUAGCAAAACCGCGAGGUCAAGCAAAUCCCAUAAAGUUGUUCUCAGUUCGGAUUGUAGUCUGCAACUCGACUACAUGAAGCUGGAAUCGCUAGUAAUCGUAGAUCAGCAUGCUACGGUGAAUACGUUCCCGGGUCUUGUACACACC
rnacentral:rRNA from 1 species